UUAUGGUUUCUGAUCACCUUCAUCUCAGCUCUUUAGAGACGCUACUUCUUCCAAAAAAGCAAGAAAAGAAAGAGGAAAAAAAAGCAAAUGACUCAGUGUGCUUCUGUCAUGCUAAAAUAGAGCUGGACAGUUUAAAUCAGCUAUGAUUUAAACGACAGCAGUUCCGAUACAGAAAGAGGAAGAGUUUUUUUAUUUAUUUAUUUUUAUUAAAUUCAUAAUUAUUGGUUUCAGCCCUUCACACAACGUGCCUUCAGAGUGUGUGGAUAAACAGUGACGGCUCGGGGAGUUUUGCUAAUGGGUGUGCGGUGUGACAGCCGAUGGCCUCAGUCAAUCAGAAACGCCUCUCAUCUCGUAAUCCGAAGGCGGAAGCAGGCCGGGGAUGCCUGGUGGACACGAUGCAAUAACAGCUAAAUAUAAUGACCCACAGCUGCUGAUGAACAGCAACAUAUUUGAGCGCACACGUGCGAAUUGCAACUCAGACGGCAAUCGCAAAGAUUCAAGUUGUGUGAAGACGAGCAAAAUGAGGAGUGAUCACAUCUUUAAUGGCGAGAGAAACACCGUGGAAGAUAGUUUUGCUAAAAGGAAAAUGCGAAUCCGUCCGACUUCGCCACUGCUGGGACUUUUUAAAGGGACGGAAACACAGCAGCAACAGCCUCUAAGCCUCCCUUAGCUGCGUCCAUUUCCAUAAGUGCUGCUGGCUGUCUGAGCCACGCCAGAAACACUGGGAGGCUAAAUUCCCCGGCAUAUCAUUUUCCCCCCGCUUCGCUCCUCGCUCUCACCUCUUCCGAACCAAAAGUUCAUUACCAUGCAGUCCGCCUUGGAGAAAGAGGAGCAGCAAACGAAAGAGGAACUGGGGAGCUCUGUGGCUACAGGGUCGACACACACACACACACACACACACACACACAGAGAAAACACACACACACACACUUACUCACGGUAAUGAGCAGGUUAUGCUCAGGCACAGGCUGCUAAAAUCUGUAAUUAUAAUCAACCUCUCCCCCUCAUCUCUGUCUCCCUUCCUCUUUGCUUCUCUUUCUCCGUCUACAUCAGUGAGCAGGCACUGGGGAAUCCUUCACUAAGCACCAGAGGUAAUGAGUUUAUUGAUUAACAUGCAGAGAUGAAGCAGCUCUCUCAAAUUAGUGUUGUUUUACAUUAUUGGAUGGACUCGGGGAACUUCAGAGCUCUGCGAGACCAUUACCUCAUUGAAGUCCCAAAACUCACAUAUACUGUACAUUCGCUUUACUACUCCAACAUUAAGCGGAGAUGCAAAGAGAUGUUUACACUCUUGGAUUUCCCUGACCGCUAUUUUUGCAGUUGGAUAGUUUCUACUGAAAUGUAGAUCAGAGGUGAUUUAAAAAAUAUAUAUUUUUAUUUUUUAUGAAUAGAAUGCCAUUCUGUUUUUAAUGCGUUUGAUUUUGCAUGCAGGUGCGGUAGGUGAUCCGUCAGACAACUGACAGCCCUGCAUCUGGCUAACCAUCUGGUUAAGGAGCACCGCACACAUCCCACAUAAGCGCCGCUUGUGACCUCACGUCUUGACAUGCUUUAGAGUCAAGAACGGAGGUAAAAGCUGUACAAGUCUUCAGGUGUUUGAUUUUUAAUUUUUUGGAAGUUAUGAGUAAAUGGACAGGAUGCACAACAAUGGCGUGGAACAAGAUGCCAGGAGUUCAAAGAAGGACAACGAUCUGACUUCCAGGAAAAAUACCUUCAUCAUCUCUGCUGGAAACCUGAAUCAGCAUGUAAUCAGAACUUUUGACUGUUUAGUUUGACAGAUGAAACAACAAGGCUGCAAAUUCAGUUCUCAUCCAAGCAGAUGAGAUAGGGAUAGUGUUGCUUCACUAUCCCCACCAUUUGUUUAGGGAUCAUGAAGCAACACUUGCAAUCCCUUACUGCCAAGAGUCAAAAUCUGCCGUGGGGCAAAGACCCCAACCCUCAGUUUACCACCGUAGACCAGAUUUUGUGGAUCAAAUUGUGACUCUAGAGCAACUUUUCAGCCAUAUAGGGUCCAUGUUGAAGUUAGCGAAUCUGCUUUGCACAAAUUGCUAAAUAAAAAUAUAGUUUUUAAAAGAAGAUUAGAGGUCUGCAACUUUCUCAUUUUUUUGCCAGUGUAUUUUUAUUUAUUUAUUUUUUUGCGUGUGUACUGUGACUUAUCAAGACAGCUAUAAAAUGUGUCCGAUGAUGUUUGCAACAUUUAAUAGAAUUGUUUUGAGUUUUUGGUUUGACAUCUUUUUUCCCUAUGUGUUCUACUAGAGCAUCAAUAAAUGACAUAUUUCAUAA